AUUGCAGCCAAUAUAACUGCAAUUAUAGUAUGUCCAGCUUUUUUGCAGAACUCAAUGUUGCAAAAUCAAGUUGUGGCCGCAAGGAAUCUGCUGUACCAGCUGCAGGUCAAACUGCAGUCACGUGGUAUAGCCUCCUCUGCAACUUCAACAAAU
rnacentral:snoRNA from 1 species